rnacentral:rRNA from 1 species
UACGUAGGGUGCGAGCGUUGUCCGGAAUUAUUGGGCGUAAAGGGCUCGUAGGCGGUCUGUCGCGUCGGGCGUGAAAACUCAGGGCUUAACCCUGAGCCUGCUUCCGAUACGGGCAGACUAGAGGUAUGCAGGGGAGGACGGAAUUCCUGGUGUAGCGGUGAAAUGCGCAGAUAUCAGGAGGAACACCGGUGGCGAAGGCGGUUCUCUGGGCAUUACCUGACGCUGAGGAGCGAAAGUGUGGGGAGCGAACAGG